AUCAAAUAUUUGGGUCUAUCACUUUUAUCAAUCUUAUUUUAGCCCAUUUAUCCUAUUGCAAUUGGGCUACUUUUAUUCUAUAAAUUUAUUCCUAUUUUUCCAUUUCAUUCUCCCAACUCUCUCACGGUUUUCUCCCGCAUCUCCAUGUUCCUUGAAAAUCUCUAACUAAAAAUCUCUUCUACUUCUCAUAUAUUUCCCCACAACGUGACUUCAUCAUUCUUCCAAUAUGCCGUUAUUCAUCUUCUUCUCCAUCAAAAGUGAGAGAGAAUAGAGAAAAUUGUGAUUUGCAAAACCUGCAACCUGUGCAACUUUCCUUUCUCCCACAGGGUGAGCUGGGCACGUUGUUGGCGGUUGGAAUAAGAAGUGAGUGAGGAGUAAGCUUGUGAGGGCCGCAAACCCUGCUCGGACUGGUGUACACCCAGUAGAUCGUGCGCUAUCUCAUUGGAGUUGGCCGGUCUAGUGACUUGGUUCGUGGCCACGUUCCUUGUCAUGUAGUUUAGAUAUGGUUAUGGUGGAUGUGGAUGGAAAAUGGUUGCGCAACCGAACUUUACUAUAAAAAUAUGUUUUUAGUGUACUUGGGUUCUUUUAAUUAAAACCCCCAAGAACACUCGUUUAUGGCUUGACAAACUGUAUUUUGGCAUGUGU